CGAAAGCCUGACGGAGCCAGACCGCGUGAGGGAAGAAAGUCUUUGGCUCGUAAACCUCUUUUCUCAAGGAAGAAUUCAUGACGGUACUUGAGGAAUCAGCAUCGGCUAACUCCGUGCCAGCAGCCGCGGUAAGACGGAGGAUGCAAGCGUUAUCCGGAAUUAUUGGGCGUAAAGCGUCCGCAGGGGGCGCAUCAAGUCUGCUGUCAAAGGCUGGAGCUCAACUCCGGUAGAGCAGUGGAAACUGGUGCGCUAGAGGGCGACAGGGGUAGAGGGAAUUCCCAGUGUAGCGGUGAAAUGCGUAGAGAUUGGGAAGAACACCGGUGGCGAAAGCGCUCUACUGGGUCGCACCUGACCCUCAGGGACGAAAGCUAAGGUAGCG
rnacentral:rRNA from 1 species